ACGGGGGGUGCGAGCGUUGUCCGGAAUCACUGGGCGUAAAGGGUGCGUAGGUGGUUUGAUAAGCGUGCGGUGAAAGCCCGGGGCUCAACCCCGGGUCGGCCGUGCGAACUGCUGGGCUCGAGCACUGUAGAGGCAGGUGGAAUUCCGGGUGUAGCGGUGGAAUGCGUAGAGAUCCGGAAGAACACCGGUGGCGAAGGCGGCCUGCUGGGCAGUGACCUCACGGUCAAUAGCUGACGCUGAUGCGCGACAGCGUGGGGAGCAAACAGGA
rnacentral:rRNA from 1 species